rnacentral:rRNA from 1 species
UGGGGAAUAUUGGACAAUGGGCGAAAGCCUGAUCCAGCGACGCCGCGUGGGUGAAGAAGGCCUGCGGGUUGUAAAGCCCUUUCGUCGGGGAAGCGUUACCCGAAGAAGAAGCACCGGCUAACUCUGUGCCAGCAGCCGCGGUAAUACAGAGGGUGCGAGCGUUAUCCGGAAUCACUGGGCGUAAAGGGCGCGUAGGCGGACAUUUAAGUCGGGGGUGAAAUCCCGGGGCUCAACCCUGGAACUGCCUUC